rnacentral:rRNA from 1 species
UGCNGUCGAACGAGANCUUCGGAUCUAGUGGCAGACGGGUGAGUAACGCGUGGGAACCUGCCCAGUAGUAGAGAAUAACUUGGGGAAACUUAAGCUAAUACUUUAUACGUCUUUCGGGAGAAAGCUUUAUGCGCUAUUGGAUGGGCCCGCGUUAGAUUAGUUUGUUGGUGAGGUAACGGCUCACCAAGGCGACGAUCUAUAGCUGGUCUGAGAGGAUGAUCAGCCACACUGGGACUGAGACACGGCCCAGACUCCUACGGGAGGCAGCAGUGGGGAAUAUUGGACAAUGGGGGCAACCCUGAUCCAGCGAUGCCGCGUGAGUGAUGAAGGCCCUAGGGUUGUAAAACUCUUUCGUCAGGGAAGAUAAUGACGGUACCUGAAGAAGAAGAUCCGGCUAACUCCGUGCCAGCAGCCGCGGUAAUACGGAGGGGUCUAGCGUUAUUCGGAAUUACUGGGCGUAAAGCGAGCGUAGGCGGAUUUGUAAGUUGGAGGUGAAAUCCCAGAGCUUAACUCUGGAACUGCCUUCAAAACUACAUUUCUUGAGUUUGGUAGAGGAGAGUGGAAUUCCUAGUGUAGAGGUGAAAUUCGUAGAUAUUAGGAGGAACACCAGUGGCGAANGCGACUCUCUGGGCCAAUACUGACGCUGANGUUCGAAAGCAUGGGUAGCGAACAGGAUUAGAUACCCUGGUAGUCCAUGCAGUAAACGAUGANUGCUAGAUGUUGGGAAUUUAAAUUUCCAGUAUCGCAGUUAACGCGUUAAGCACUCCGCCUGGGNNGUACNGCCGCANGGNUAAAACUCAAAUGNANUNGANGGGGANCCGCACNAGCG